UACGUAGGGUGCGAGCGUUGUCCGGAAUUAUUGGGCGUAAAGGGCUCGUAGGCGGUUCGUCACGUCGGGAGUGAAAACUCGGGGCUUAACCCCGAGCCUGCUUCCGAUACGGGCAGACUAGAGGUAGGCAGGGGAGAGCGGAACUCCUGGUGUAGCGGUGGAAUGCGCAGAUAUCAGGAAGAACACCGGUGGCGAAGGCGGCCUGCUGGGGUGGAGCUGACGCUGAGGCGCGACAGCGUGGGGAGCAAACAGG
rnacentral:rRNA from 1 species